rnacentral:rRNA from 1 species
UACAGAGGUCCCGAGCGUUGUUCGGAUUCAUUGGGCGUAAAGGGUGCGUAGGUGGCGCUGUAAGUGGGGUGUGAAAUCCCGGGGCUUAACCCCGGGACUGCAUUCGAUACUGCCGUGCUUGAGGACUGGAGAGGAGACUGGAAUUUACGGUGUAGCGGUGAAAUGCGUAGAUAUCGUAAGGAAGACCAGUGGCGAAGGCGGGUCUCUGGACAGUUACCGACGCUGAGGCACGAAGGUCAGGGGAGCAAACGGG